CCUACGGGUGGCUGCAGUGGGGGAUAUUGCACAAUGGGGGAAACCCUGAUGCAGCGACGCCGCGUGUGGGAAGACGGUCUUCUGGAUUGUAAACCACUGUCCCCAGGGACGAAAAUGACGGUACCUGGGGAGGAAGCUCCGGCUAACUACGUGCCAGCAGCCGCGGUAAUACGUAGGGAGCAAGCGUUGUCCGGAAUUACUGGGUGUAAAGGGAGCGUAGGCGGGGAUGCAAGUUGGGUGUAAAAACUACCGGCUCAACCGAUAGUCGCACUCAAAACUGCAGCUCUUGAGUGAAGUAGGGGCUGGCGGAAUUCCUAGUGUAGCGGUGAAAUGCGUAGAUAUUAGGAGGAACACCAGUGGCGAAGGCGGCCGGCUGGGCUUUUACUGACGCUGAGGCUCGAAAGUGUGGGGAGCAAACAGGAUUAGAUACCCGGGUAGUC
rnacentral:rRNA from 1 species